rnacentral:rRNA from 1 species
AUUGAACGCUGGCGGCAGGCCUAACACAUGCAAGUCGAACGGAGUGGCGGACGGGUGAGUAAUGUCUGGGAAACUGCCUGAUGGAGGGGGAUAACUACUGGAAACGGUAGCUAAUACCGCAUACUAUCGGAUGAGCCUAGGUGGGAUUAGCUAGUUGGUGGGGUAAAGGCUUACCAAGGCGACGAUCCGUAACUGGUCUGAGAGGAUGAGCAGCCACCCUGGAACUGAGACACGGUCCAGACUCCUACGGGAGGCAGCAGUGGGGAAUAUUGGACAAUGGGCGAAAGCCUGAUGCAGCCAUGCCGCGUGUGUGAAGAAGGUCUUCGGGUUGUAAAGCACUUUAAGUUGGGAGGCGUUACCAACAGAAUAAGCACCGGCUAACUUCGUGCCAGCAGCCGCGGUAAUAC